GGGCCCUUAGCUUAAUGGUCGAAGCAAUUGACUCAUAAUCAAGAGAUUACAGGUUCAAGUCCUGUAGGGCCCA
rnacentral:tRNA from 1 species